rnacentral:rRNA from 1 species
AGUGAACGCUGGCGGUAGGCCUAACACAUGCAAGUCGAACGGCAGCACCGUAAGAGCUUGCUCUUACGGGUUGCGAGUGGCGGACGGGUGAGGAAUAUAUCCGAAUCUACUUUUUCGUGGGGGUUAACGUAGGGAAACUUACGCUAAUACCGCAUACCACCUACGGGUGAAAGCAGGGGAUAUUCGGACCUUGCGCGAUUGGAUUAGCGGCUGUCGGAUUAGCUAGUUGGCGGGGUAAAUGCCCACCAAGGGGAGGAUCCGUAGCCGGUGUGGGAGGAUGGUCGCCCACACUGGAAGUGGGACACGGUCAAGAGUCCUACGGGAGGCAGCAGUGGGGAAUAGUGGGCAAUGGGCGCAAGCCUGAUCCAGCGGUACCGAGUGGGUGACGAAGGCCUUCGGUUUGGAAAGACCUUUUGUUGGGAAAGAAAAGCAGCAGCUUAAUACCCCGCUGUUGUGACGGUACCCAAAGAAUAAGCACCGGCUAACUUCGUG